ACUGAGGAUUCUGGAGGAUCCAUUGCACCCACUUCACACAGAAUUUUCCCACCUCCCCUCUGGACGUAGAUUUAGAAUGCCCCGAACUAAAACUAAACGACACAUCACUUCAUUUGUGCCGAGGAGCAUUCAACUACUUAACGAAUCAUCCAUGGGCACAUAGAUUGAUUUUGAAUGUGCAUUAUUGAAUAUAUAUCUAUUUAUUGAUUCUUUUAAGCUGCGGAAUAUUUUAGAGUUGUCAAAUUGAUAUAUUCCAUGUCACUUUUGUCUUUAUUCUUCUUUAUUUAUGUUUAUUUUAUGUUUUUUGUGGUUAUGUUUAUUAUGGUUCCCAUGAGUGUAAAACAAAUUCCCCUUUGGGGCAAUAAAGGUUUCAUUCA